GGUUGCGAUCAUACCAGCACUAAUGCACCGGAUCCUAUCAGAACUCCGCAGUUAAGCGUGCUUGGGCUAGAGUAGUACUAGGAUGGGUGACCCCCUGGGAAGUCCUCGUGUUGCAACCC
rnacentral:rRNA from 1 species